GGCCUGGUGGUGUAACGGUAACAUACCUACUCUACUUUUCCCCCCUCACCUGAAGGUUUUGGUAGGAGUACCUUGUUCGACUCAAGGCUAGGCUA